UACGAAGGGUGCAAGCGUUACUCGGAAUUACUGGGCGUAAAGGGUGCGUAGGUGGUUCUUUAAGUCUGCUGUGAAAGCCCCGGGCUCAACCUGGGAAUGGCAGUGGAUACUGGAGAGCUAGAGUGCGGUAGAGGGUAGUGGAAUUCCCGGUGUAGCAGUGAAAUGCGUAGAGGUCGGGAGGAACACCAGUGGCGAAGGCGGCUACUGGACCAGCACUGACACUGAAGCACGAAAGCGUGGGGAGCAAACAGG
rnacentral:rRNA from 1 species